rnacentral:rRNA from 1 species
AGUGAACGCUGGCGGUAGGCCUAACACAUGCAAGUCGAACGGCAGCACAGUAAGCGCUUGCUCUUACGGGUGGCGAGUGGCGGACGGGUGAGGAAUACAUCGGAAUCUACUUUUUCGUGGGGGAUAACGUAGGGAAACUUACGCUAAUACCGCAUACGACCUACGGGUGAAAGCAGGGGAUCUUCGGACCUUGCGCGAUUGAAUGAGCCGAUGUCGGAUUAGCUAGUUGGCGGGGUAAAGGCCCACCAAGGCGACGAUCCGUAGCUGGUCUGAGAGGAUGAUCAGCCACACUGGAACUGAGACACGGUCCAGACUCCUACGGGAGGCAGCAGUGGGGAAUAUUGGACAAUGGGCGCAAGCCUGAUCCAGCCAUACCGCGUGGGGGAAGAAGGCCUUCGGGUUGUAAAGCCCUUUUGUUGGGAAAGAAAAGCAGCAGGUUAAUACCCCGCUGUUCUGACGGUACCCAAAGAAUAAGCACCGGCUAACUUCGUG